rnacentral:rRNA from 1 species
CGAACGCGUCUUGGUUAUUGAUGUUAAGUGCUUGCAUUUAACUGAUUUCCCAUUGAGACGAGCGGCGAACUGGUGAGUAACACGUGGGUAACCUGCCCUUGAAGUAGGGGAUAACACUUGGAAACAGGUGCUAAUACCGUAUAACAACCAAAACCACCUGGUUUUGGUUUAAAAGAUGGCUUCGGCUAUCACUUUAGGAUGGACCCGCGGCGUAUUAGCUUGUUGGUAAGGUAACGGCCUACCAAGGCAAUGAUACGUAGCCGACCUGAGAGGGUAAUCGGCCACAUUGGGACUGAGACACGGCCCAAACUCCUACGGGAGGCAGCAGUAGGGAAUCUUCCACAAUGGACGAAAGUCUGAUGGAGCAACGCCGCGUGAGUGAUGAAGGGUUUCGGCUCGUAAAACUCUGUUGUUGGAGAAGAACAGGUGUGAGAGUAACUGUUCACAUCUUGACGGUAUCCAACCAGAAAGCCACGGCUAACUACGUGCCAGCAGCCGCGGUAAUACGUAGGUGGCAAGCGUUGUCCGGAUUUAUUGGGCGUAAAGCGAGCGCAGGCGGUUUCUUAGGUCUGAUGUGAAAGCCUUCGGCUUAACCGGAGAAGUGCAUCGGAAACCAGGAGACUUGAGUGCAGAAGAGGACAGUGGAACUCCAUGUGUAGCGGUGAAAUGCGUAGAUAUAUGGAAGAACACCAGUGGCGAAGGCGGCUGUCUGGUCUGUAACUGACGCUGAGGCUCGAAAGCAUGGGUUA